GACGGGUGAGUAAUGCCUAGGAAUCUGCCUGGUAGUGGGGGAUAACGUCCGGAAACGGGCGCUAAUACCGCAUACGUCCUGAGGGAGAAAGUGGGGGAUCUUCGGACCUCACGCUAUCAGAUGAGCCUAGGUCGGAUUAGCUAGUUGGUGGGGUAAAGGCCUACCAAGGCGACGAUCCGUAACUGGUCUGAGAGGAUGAUCAGUCACACUGGAACUGAGACACGGUCCAGACUCCUACGGGAGGCAGCAGUGGGGAAUAUUGGACAAUGGGCGAAAGCCUGAUCCAGCCAUGCCGCGUGUGUGAAGAAGGUCUUCGGAUUGUAAAGCACUUUAAGUUGGGAGGAAGGGCAGUAAGUUAAUACCUUGCUGUUUUGACGUUACCAACAGAAUAAGCACCGGCUAACUUCGUGCCAGCAGCCGCGGUAAUACGAAGGGUGCAAGCGUUAAUCGGAAUUACUGGGCGUAAAGCGCGCGUAGGUGGUUCAGCAAGUUGGAUGUGAAAUCCCCGGGCUCAACCUGGGAACUGCAUCCAAAACUACUGAGCUAGAGUACGGUAGAGGGUGGUGGAAUUUCCUGUGUAGCGGUGAAAUGCGUAGAUAUAGGAAGGAACACCAGUG
rnacentral:rRNA from 2 species